GACGAACGCUGGCGGCGUGCUUAACACAUGCAAGUCGAACGAAGUGGCGAACGGGUGAGUAACGCGUAAUCAACCUGCCCUUCAGAGGGGGAACACAGUUGGAAACGACUGCUAAUACCGCAUACUGAAGGAGGGGAUUGAGUCUGAUUAGCUAGUUGGAGGGGUAACGGCCCACCAAGGCGAUGGUCAGUAGGCGGUCUGAGAGGAUGAACGGCCACAUUGGGAAUGGGACACGGCCCAGACUCCUACGGGGUGCAGCAGUGGGGAAUCUUCCGAAAUGGACGGAAGUCUGACGGAGCAACGGCGCGGGAGUGAUGACGGCCUUCGGGUUGUAAAGCUCUGUUAAUCGGGGCGCGGUACCGGAAUAGAAAGCAACGGCUAACUACGUGCCAGCAGCCGCGGUAAUUC
rnacentral:rRNA from 1 species